rnacentral:rRNA from 1 species
GACGAACGCUGGCGGCGUGCUUAACACAUGCCAGUCGAACGCUGAAGCUCAGCUUGCUGGGUGGAUGAGUGGCGAACGGGUGAGUAACACGUGAGUAACCUGCCCUCUUCUUUGGGAUAACGCCCGGAAACGGGUGCUAAUACUGGAUAUUCACUGAUUCUCGCAUGGGGGUUGGUGGAAAGGUUUUUUCUGGUGGGGGAUGGGCUCGCGGCCUAUCAGCUUGUUGGUGGGGUGAUGGCCUACCAAGGCUUUGACGGGUAGCCGGCCUGAGAGGGUGACCGGUCACAUUGGGACUGAGAUACGGCCCAGACUCCUACGGGAGGCAGCAGUGGGGAAUAUUGCACAAUGGGCGAAAGCCUGAUGCAGCGACGCCGCGUGAGGGAUGGAGGCCUUCGGGUUGUAAACCUCUUUCGCUCGUGGUCAAGCCGCAGCUUUGGGUUGUGGUGAGGGUAGUGGGUAAAGAAGCGCCGGCUAACUACGUG